rnacentral:rRNA from 1 species
CUACGGGCGGCACCAGUCGAGGAAAUUCUACAAUGCUCGAAAGAGUGAUAGAAUGAGUCAGAGUGUUUCUUUUAGAGAAACUUUUUUCUGUUGUAAAAAGACAGAAGAAUAAGGACUGGGAAAGACCGGUGCCAGCCGCCGCGGUAAUACCGGCGGUCCGAGUCGCAUCCACAUUUAUUGGGUCUAAAACAUCCGUAGCUUGUUUUGUGAGUCUCUUGUGAAAUCUGAUAUCUUAAAUAUCAGGCGUGCAAGAGAUACUACAUCACUAGAGACCGGAAGGCGCAAAGAGUAUGAUUAAGGUAGCGGUAAAAUGUGUUAAUCUUAAUUAGACUAACAAUUAGCGAAGGCACUUUGCGAGUACGGAUCUGACAGUGAGGGAUGAAGGCUAGGGGCGCAAAAGGGAUUAGAUACCCCGGUAGUC